GACGAACGCUGGCGGCGUGCCUAAUACAUGCAAGUUGAGCGAUGAAGAUUGGUGCUUGCACCAAUUUGAAGAGCAGCGAACGGGUGAGUAACGCGUGGGGAAUCUGCCUUUGAGCGGGGGACAACAUUUGGAAACGAAUGCUAAUACCGCAUAACAACUUUAAACAUAAGUUUUAAGUUUGAAAGAUGCAUUUGCAUCACUCAAAGAUGAUCCCGCGUUGUAUUAGCUAGUUGGUGAGGUAAAGGCUCACCAAGGCGAUGAUACAUAGCCGACCUGAGAGGGUGAUCGGCCACAUUGGGACUGAGACACGGCCCAAACUCCUACGGGAGGCAGCAGUAGGGAAUCUUCGGCAAUGUACGAAAGUCUGACCGAGCAACGCCGCGUGAGUGAAGAAGGUUUUCGGAUCGUAAAACUCUGUUGGUAGAGAAGAACGUUGGUGAGAGUGGAAAGCUCAUCAAGUGACGGUAACUACCCAGAAAGGGACGGCUAACUACGUG
rnacentral:rRNA from 1 species